rnacentral:rRNA from 1 species
GACGAACGCUGGCGGCGUGCUUAACACAUGCAAGUCGAGCGGUAAGGCCUCUUCGGAGGUACACGAGCGGCGAACGGGUGAGUAACACGUGAGCAAUCUGCCCUCCACAUCGGGAUACCCCCCGGAAACGGGAGCUAAUACCGGAUACGACCACUUCAGGCAUCUGAUGGUGGUGGAAAGUUCCGGCGGUGGAGGAUGAGCUCGCGGCCUAUCAGCUUGUUGGUGGGGUAACGGCCCACCAAGGCUUCGACGGGUAGCCGGCCUGAGAGGGUGACCGGCCACACUGGGACGAGGACACGGCCCAGACGCCUACGGGAGGCAGCAGUGUGGAAUAUUGGACAAUGGGCGAAAGCCUGAUCCAGCAACGCCGCGUGAGGGAUGACGGCCUUCGGGUUGUAAACCUCUUUCAGCGCAGACGAAGCGAAAGUGACGGUAUGCGCAGAAGAAGCACCGGCCAACUACGUGCCAGCAGCCGCCGUAAGAC